rnacentral:tRNA from 1 species
AGGAUUAUAGUUUAAAAAAAAACAUUUGAUUUGCAUUCAAAAAAUAUUGAACUUAUAUCAAUUUAUCUUA